UGCCAGCCGCCGCGGUAAUACGAAGGGUGCGAGCAUUAAUCGGAUUUAUUGGGCGUAAAGAGCGCGUAGGUGGGUGAAUAAGUCAGACGUGAAAGCCUGGAGCUCAACUCCAGAAUUGCAUUUGAAACCGUUUACCUUGAGGAUAGGCGGAGAAGACGGAAUUCCACGUGUAGCGGUGAAAUGCGUAGAUAUGUGGAAGAACACCGGUGGCGAAGGCGGUCUUCUAGCUUAUUCCUGCACACUGAGGCGCGAAAGCAAGGGGAGCAAACAGGAUUAGAUA
rnacentral:rRNA from 1 species